AUGAAGCCAAAAGUGGACGGUGGUCUGGGUUUCAGAAAUUUGCACUUCUUCAAUCUAGCCAUGUUGGCGAGGAAGGCAUGAAGAAUCCUACAAAAUCCCCAUUCACUCUGCUCACAUGCCUUGGCUGCUAGAUACUUCCCCAAUGGCUCAAUGCUAGAAGCCACUCCAGUAGCAGGUAUCUCUUACACAUGGAGCAACAUACUAAAAGGGAUGCAACUGCUGAAAAAAGGGAUUAUAUGGCGAGUGGUCAAUGGUGAGAACAUCAAAAUUUGGAGUGAUCCUUGGAUCCCUAGAGGAAGCACAAGGAGAAUUAUCAUGCCCAGGGAAAGGAAUCUCACUACUAAGGUAUCUGAACUCAUUAAUCCCAUCACCAACCAGUGGGAUGCAGAUCUGAUUCAACAGAUAUUCUGGCCGGAAGAUGCCCAAGUCAUCCUCCAAAUACCCCUAUAAGAACAAACAUGUGAUGUCCUUGGAUGGCAUUAUGAUAAAAAAGGAGUAUUUUCUGUUAAAUCG
rnacentral:rRNA from 1 species